rnacentral:sRNA from 1 species
ACAGCUACAACCGCACAGACCAAGUUUUUAAGUACGAUUGUCACUUGCGAUGGCGAGUCUAAGUUUU